GUCCACGCCCUAACGAUGUUUACUCGACGUCCGGCCCUGCGGUCGUGCGUCCAAGCGAAAGCGUUAAGUAACCACCUGGGGAGUACGCCGGCAACGGUGAACUCAAAGGAAUUGACGGGGUCCGCACAAGCGGUGGAGCAUGUGGUUUAAUUCGAUGAUACGCGAGGAACCUUACCUGGGCUAGAAUGCGAGUGCCGCCCGGUGAAAGCCGGGUUUCCUUCGGGACACAAAGCAAGGUGCUGCAUGGCUGUCGU
rnacentral:rRNA from 1 species